GCCUGGCCCAGCUUGGCUCGGCACGGCACAGCUCAAGCAGAUAGAAAGUUGCUCUGCCUGGACUAGUGACGCUGACAAACGCUUCGUCCUCUAUCUUCGCUUCACGUGCAUAUCGUUAACGACGCUUCACUACGGGCGUGCUGCAACCAGGAAAAAAGUGUCUGGUAUGUUGUGUGAGGGCUAUUGGUUUUUCGGUAAUGAGAGGAUUAUUGUUUUAGUGCAUCGAGAGGUUGAAGCGGGUUGUUGCAGAGGUUAGAGGGGGCUAUGGCCGAGCUUGUUGUCGGAGGAACCGGGGAUGAAUCACCCGAUCGGUUGACCCUGACUCAGUGCAUGUCGCUACCCGACGUCGCGCAACGCAGGCAUUCUUGGCAUGUAUGUUCAAGUGCAUCGCGUUUUCAUCGUUGACUCACCCUUACGCGAUUCACCUGCAUCUAAGGUUCUGAGCUCUUGCCUUUUGAAGAUCAGGAGAUCUUUCAACAAGCUAAGCCUACGCCUGUGAAGACGGCACAUUCCGUUCUUUAGUCUCUCUUCAUACUACAGGGAUUCUCUCAAGAGCAGACAUGUCGCAGAACCAGGCUACCAUCCCGAAUUUUGAUAUCUUGCGUGCUCAGAAAAUAGAGGUCACUGAAGUGAAGUCAGGCAUUGAGCUGUAUCAGUUCAGAAGUGGACCUGAAGAUGCGAGUGAUACUGCUGCUUCGGCAUCUGCGGCUGAAAAGAGAGAAUCUCAGGAUGAUAUCAUCUGCUUCGAUUUGCCAUGUACACAAAAUACGUUUCCACUUGAACGUCGGGAGUUGCAGUCAACCAAUGUUGAGGAGGAGUCUGAAAGAUUAUCUCCAACAUUGGAAUAUGUGUCGGCACUAGCUCAUUUGACUACGUUUGGCAUCUUAGGGGUCUGCAUCCGCCAUGGACUAGAGUUGCUUUUCUCUGGGAUUGCAAAUGUUACGUCAGAAAAUUCUCCGUUGUUCAUUGAUUUACCAGCCAACAUGCUUGGGUGUUUCUUUAUGGGCUGGGUUGGAGUUUCUCUGAAAAAAGAAAUUGCCAAUUUCUCAGAAUUACUAGCAAUUGGGUUGUCCACUGGACUCAUGGGCAGUAUUACAACGUAUGCUUCAUGGAACCAAGCGAUGAUCUUCCUGGUCACCAAAGGAUUUUGGGUGCGCUCUAUCGUGAGUUUGAUUAUCGGUAUGGAGAUGUCGCAAAUGUCUCUUCUGGUAGGCAUCGAUUCUGCUACAUUCCUAAAAUCGGGACUCAUGCACCCAAAGAGAGUCCGCAUUCGUAGAGGAUGGCAAAAGCAUUGGAACUCUUCUCCUGAGACUCUUCAUCGUCGGAAGGCUGGAAUGCUGGUCUUCCUGGCAAUCAGUAUCAUUUUGUGGGCGGCUUGUCUGGUUCUCACGGUCACAGAUGUCAAUUCCUACGUACGAAGGCGUCUGUGGCUAGCAUGUAUGGUGGGUCCUCCGGGUGUGUGGUCACGGUGGCUUUUAGCCAGGCUAAACGGACAAGGAAUUGGAAGAAACCACCAUCUGAAGUGGUUGCCUAUUGGAACUCUUUUAACCAAUCUUAUUGCAUCUACCUUGGAGGCUGUGCUCGCCGUGGUGAUUCUUGUGUCACCAGAUUCUUCUUUACUGGCUAGAGGCCUACAGGUUGGGUUGCUUGGGUGCAUGAGUACUGUCUCCACCUUUACUACUGAGGUCCACUCUCUUCGCCGAGGUUCCAAGCAAUGGCGAGCGUAUGCUUACUUUUGCAUCAUGGUUUUUUCCACGUAUUGCAUGGGCGUGUUGGUGUACACUAUCGCGGUCAUGACACGUCAUUAUUCAGUGUGAUAAUCUCAUAUCGAUUAUUCAUCGAGAUAUUUGAUCCUUUCAAUUAUACGCCCAACUUGAUUGAGGCAUUCUUCUGCCCAGCAUCUGAUGCCCGCUGUCACAGAUUUAAUUGCAAUAUUUGAGACCUGAUUAGGUUUUCAUUCACAGAUAACAGGAUAAGUCUAGCGGUCACUUUCGUGUGGCUGGAGAAUAUGAGAACUUUCAUUUGGUUUUCACCGAGUACAAUUCAACCCUUCUAUUCUUGGUCAUAUUACUUCUGCCAAGCUCUACCUUAUACAAAGAUUCUUUUUUUCGCUUUAAAUGAUUAGAUCGAAAGGGAAUUUCCUCAUGCUGAGAAUAUGAAUUGUAGACACGAGUUCUCUGUCACCUCACUGUUAGCUUUAGUUAGCUAACGUUUCGAGGCAACGAGAUUUUUGAUAGAAAUAUGAAAAAUCGUACGUUAACGUGCAGAUCCCCUGGUGAAGAAUAUGAAGCUGUCGAGUUGGUCUCUCAGAUGUUGCUUCAUGGUUGAUUAUUUCUUUUUCAUUUGUCUUUUCUGCUUUUGAGGUUUAGGUUUUGUGAUCCUGUGUUAGGGCUGUAGUCUUCAUCAGGUAACAGGGAACUGCAGGGAAUCAAUCUCGAGGCAGAUGUAUGCUGUUAUCACUAAAACUAACAUGUUGGCGACUGCGAAAAUGCCUAGCACCAGACGUGUUGAAUGCGGAGGCAACUGAUGGUUCACCGUUUUGGAGUAAGAGUUGCAUUGUUGGUACGUAGACUCGGUUUUUUCCCAUGACCAUAAGUGAAACUACAGGAACGUCUAGCGUGGCCAAAGUCAGCAGAAGGAUGAUGGUUAUCAUGAUUCUGUUACUGUUAUAUCAAUCACCUUGUCUUCGGUAGAAGUUUAAACCUGCGUUGACUGUUAAACGAUCCACUUGAAAAAUAAGAUUAAAUGAUGUUGCUUCUGCCUAAUUUGCUGAUAAAGGAGCGGCCGUAGUUUCAACUAUCAUAACCGCAGUGAUAGCCGUCUUUCCUAUUGUGAUGUCCUUAAUUCUAGUUAUCAGCGAACGUCUCUUCAAUGCACUGUUACGUAGGGGGUGCUACUGUUCUUCCAACUCCAACCGAGCAAGACCCAAGUUCAGACCUGUGACGAGGUGAUUUACGUAAUCAAGUUAUUAUGCUUCCAUUGAAAACGUUGGCGAAUUCCAAGCUGAUUCAUGAAAGGAAUAGCGACCAAGUGAAGAUAAGUGAACCCAAAUUAGUGUAGUUCUACGAUUUGCGGGGAUACAGUGAUAGCAAAAGAAGAUUCAGCAAGUAUG